rnacentral:rRNA from 1 species
UACGUAGGGUGCAAGCGUUAAUCGGAAUUACUGGGCGUAAAGCGUGCGCAGGCGGCUAUGCAAGACAGAUGUGAAAUCCCCCGGGCUCAACCUGGGAACUGCAUUUGUGACUGCAUGGCUAGAGUACGGUAGAGGGGGAUGGAAUUCCGCGUGUAGCAGUGAAAUGCGUAGAUAUGCGGAGGAACACCGACGGCGAAGGCAAUCCCCUGGACCUGUACUGACGCUCAUGCACGAAAGCGUGGGGGAGCAAACAGG